CCUACGGGAGGCAGCAGUCGAGAAUCAUUCACAAUGGGGGAAACCCUGAUGGUGCGACGCCGCGUGGGGGAAUGAAGUUCUUCGGAUUGUAAACCCCUGUCAUGUGGGAGCAAAUUAAAAAGAUAGUACCACAAGAGGAAGAGACGGCUAACUCUGUGCCAGCAGCCGCGGUAAUACAGAGGUCUCAAGCGUUGUUCGGAAUCACUGGGCGUAAAGCGUGCGUAGGCUGUUUCGUAAGUCGUGUGUGAAAGGCGCGGGCUCAACCCGCGGACGGCACAUGAUACUGCGAGACUAGAGUAAGGGAGGGGGAACCGGAAUUCGCGGUGUAGCAGUGAAAUGCGUAGAUAUCGAGAGGAACACUCGUGGCGAAGGCGGGUUCCUGGACAUUAACUGACGCUGAGGCACGAAGGCCAGGGGAGCGAAAGGGAUUAGAUACCCUAGUAGUC
rnacentral:rRNA from 1 species